rnacentral:tRNA from 780 species
GCGGGAGUAGCUCAGUUGGUAGAGCGCAACCUUGCCAAGGUUGAGGUCGCGAGUUCGAGACUCGUCUCCCGCUCCA